AUGGAUUUUGGCCUCCGCUCCGAGAAAAAGCCAUUUUUGGGGUGCAUCCCCCGUGACCCAGGUGAUCGACGCCGCAUCGCCAAGGAGGUGAAGGAGCUGAGGGCUGAGGUGGAGGAUGUGAGCAACAGGAACCAGCGCUAUCACCUCAUCAAGGAGAGCUCAGGCUCCAUGCCUACCGCAGCAGAGGAGCAGGCCAGCAUUGCCACCGCUGGAAUGUUUGGCAUCAACGAACCAAUGAUUGCCACCUUGGAGCAUGAAAAAUCAUCAGAGGUGAACCUCCACCAGCUGAUUACCAGCAACGAUGUGGACCUUAGGGAGAUCGCCAUGUGGGGAACAAGCGGUGAUCUCGAGAAGGCUCCCGCCAUCCAGGAGGUUUAUGAUGACCCAAAGAUAUUGAAAAAGUUUGGUUUCCGUGCUUGGAUUAGGUUGGUGCAUCCUUUCAGCCCACAAGAGUUCCUCCGGAGCUUGGUAAGGCAAUUUUACGAGAAUUUCCAUGAUGAAGUUGGAAAGCCUGAAGAAGAUACAAAUAUUGGGGCUGAUGUUCUGGCCAAGAUGGAGAAGAUGGAUCAAAAUGAAUUAGUUUGUGUGUUUAAAGCACAGUUGUUUAGCAAUAGCUACCUGAUCGUAAUUGAUGACCUAUCCACGAUAGUGGAGUGGCAUUGCAUUAAGAAGUAUUUACCUGACAACAAGAAACAAAGCAGAAUCAUCGUUUCCACGCAGCAAGCUGAAAUUGCAAGCUUGUGCACUGAGAAACUGUAUCAAGUUUCGGAGUUCAAGCAGUUGUCGUGUGAUCAAACUAUUUAUUUGUUCCACAAGAAGUUGCAGAAUUCAGAGAAUCUGGUCAGCAUGGGCAGUGCUAGUGUGGCACUGUUUGAUACCAAAGAUGAAGCAAGGCUUGCCGCCGUGGAGAAAGAGAAACUGAAGGUGGGACCCUGCCAGCUAACUGAAAUUCAAAUAUUGAAUUUCAUGUUUAUGAUUAUAUUUUGGUUGUAUAAAUGUCGGUACUUGUUCUUUUUAUCUUCACAUGAAAGCACACACCCCGUGUGUGUGCAUCAUUGA
rnacentral:rRNA from 1 species